CCUCAGCAUAACAAUGUAAAGCACAAUCAGCUUUAAUGUUCGAUUCGGUGUACUCCGUCGCAGCUGGUCUUACGGAGCUUGAAAGGAAGGAUUUAUUGAGUUGGCAUAAUAUUUCUUGCAAAAACGAAUUGCCAUGGAGAGAUGGACUGUCGCUAUAUAACUAUAUUAAUUCGGCUUCUAUGAAUGGAUUGACAGGCCGUGUACAUUUCGCUGAGGGACGUCGAAAUUUAUUUCAAAUCGAUUUGCUUAAAUUAAAGCGAGAGAAAAUUCAAAAAGUUGGUUUUUGGAAACCUGAAUUCGGUGUUAACAUUACCGAUUCGACCGCUUUCUAUGACACUUAUUCAAGUAAUACAACGUUAAUUGUCAUGACACGCCAAGAAAAACCUUACGUUAUGGUGAAAAGUGGCAUAAGUCAAACAGGAAAUGAUCGCUUUGAAGGAUUUUGUAUUGAUCUCCUAAAAGCCAUUGCCACUCAAAUGGGAUUUCAAUAUAAGAUUGAAUUAGUACCUGAUAAUAUGUAUGGAGUAUUCAACCCUGACACAAAAGUUUGGAACGGAAUAGUGCGAGAGUUAAUGGAAAAGGCGUUUUGAAUGAACAACGCUGAAUAAACAAAACUAGGGCGAUAUGUAUUAUAUAUCUUUUCAUUGGAUAUUUCAAAGGCUAGGUAUAACAUUUCCAACUAUUUACUUUAUUGCGAUACCUGGCUAUACCCGCAGCUUCGCUUGCAUGGAAGUUGGCAAGGUACACAUAGCUAAUCCACUACAUUUUUUAAUAUUACGUGUUCUAUUUGGUUUUUUAUGAAUGUACAUAUGUGUGUCGUUCAUCAUCUAACAAAGUAGCUGCCAUGCCUAGCGAUACAUCUGCCUAUGGUGUGAUAUUAUAAAUGCUUUACCGGU
rnacentral:misc_RNA from 1 species